rnacentral:rRNA from 1 species
UUUUUCUGGGUGGCCGGCAGCCGCGGUAAUUCCAGCUCCAAUAGGUAUAUUUAAGUUGUUGCAGUUAAAAAGCUCGUAGUUGGAUUUCGGGUGCGUCGACGCGGUCUGCCUCUGGUAUGUACUGCGCUCGGUGCACCUUUCUGCUGGGGACGGGCUCCUGGGCUUAACUGCUUGGGACCUGGAAUCAGCGAAGUGACCUUGAGCAAACAAGAGUGUUCAAAGCAAGCCGACGCUCUGAAUUUUUUAGCAUGGAAUCACACGAUAGGACUCUGGCCUAUCUUGUUGGUCUGUAGGACCGGAGUAAUGAUUAAGAGGGACAGUCGGGGGCAUUCGUAUUUCAUUGUCAGAGGUGAAAUUCUUGGAUUUAUGAAAGACGAACUUCUGCGAAAGCAUUUGCCAAGGAUGUUUUCAUUGAUCAAGAACGAAAGUUGGGGGCUCGAAGACGAUUAGAUACCGUCGUAGUCUCAACCAUAAACGAUGCCGACUAGGGAUUGGCAGGUGUUCCAUUGAUGACCCUGCCAGCACCUUAUGAGAAAUCAAAGUUUUUGGGUUCCGGGGGGAGUAUGGUCGCAAGGCUGAAACUUAAAGGAAUUGACGGAAGGGCACCACCAGGCGUGGAGCCUGCGGCUUAAUUUGACUCAACACGGGGAAACUUACCAGGUCCAGACACGGGGAGGAUUGACAGAUUGAGAGCUCUUUCUUGAUUCUGUGGGUGGUGGUGCAUGGCCGUUCUUAGUUGGUGGGUUGCCUUGUCAGGUUGAUUCCGGUAACGAACGAGACCUCAGCCUGCUAAAUAGUCACGGGUACCUUGGUACACGCCUGACUUCUUAGAGGGACUAUUGGCGUUCUAUUCAAAGGAAAUGUCACACG